UCUCUUCACUUAUGAGCACUAGAUGG
rnacentral:piRNA from 1 species